GUGCAGAUAUUUUACAUGUAGAUUAGCACUGCCACAUCAGCUGGUGCAAACCGGUUUGAAUUCACAUGGUAACAGUAGUAUGGCAUCAAAAACAUUGCACUUUUUUUUUUAUACAGGGAAAUUCACAAGAUUAUUUUGUACGCUUUAAGAUUAACUUUUGAUACGUCAUACGUUUGUUGCAUUUUAAAGAAAAAAAGGGAAAAUAAAACGAGCAAAGAUUACUAUUUUGGGAAGCUGUCAGCUUAUGUUUAGUCAGGAGAAACAGAUACACCCAUUAGCUUAAGUAGUAAGGACAUGGAGAUUGAUUGUAAUAAACCCCUGAUUGUUAGACUUAACUCGUCAUUUGUAGUGUUGUGUGGUAAUGAGGAGCCUUUGGUUCUAUACAGUGGGUGCAAAGGGACAUCCCUUUCGAGAUGUAUG